rnacentral:rRNA from 1 species
UCGGGAAUAUUGCGGCAAUGGAGGAAACUCUGACGCAGUGACGCCGCGUGCAGGAAGAAGGUUUUCGGAUUGUAAACUGCUUUAGACAGGGAAGAAACAAGACAGUACCUGUAGAAUAAGCUCCGGCUAACUACGUGCCAGCAGCCGCGGUAAUACGUAGGGAGCAAGCGUUAUCCGGAUUUAUUGGGUGUAAAGGGUGCGUAGACGGGAAGACAAGUUGGUUGUGAAAUCCCUCGGCUUAACUGAGGAACUGCAACCAAAACUAUCUUUCUUGAGUACUGGAGAGGAAAGUGGAAUUCCUAGUGUAGCGGUGAAAUGCGUAGAUAUUAGGAGGAACACCAGUGGCGAAGGCGACUUUCUGGACAGAAACUGACGUUGAGGCACGAAAGUGUGGGGAGCAAACAGGAUUAGAUACCCUGGUAGU